GGACUACAGGGGUAUCUAAUCCUGUUUGCUCCCCACGCUUUCGCACCUGAGCGUCAGUCUUUGUCCAGGGGGCCGCCUUCGCCACCGGUAUUCCUCCACAUCUCUACGCAUUUCACCGCUACACAUGGAAUUCUACCCCCCUCUACAAGACUCUAGCUGACCAGUAUCAGAUGCAAUUCCCGGGUUAAGCCCGGGGAUUUCACAUCUGACUCAAUCAACCGCCUGCGUGCGCUUUACGCCUAGUAAUUCCGAUUAACGCUUGCACCCUCCGUAUUACCGCGGCUGCUGGCACGGAGUUAGCCGGUGCUUCUUCUGCGGGUAACGUCAAUCGGUGAGGUUAUUAACCUCACCGCCUUCCUCCCCGCUGAAAGUGCUUUACAACCCGAAGGCCUUCUUCACA
rnacentral:misc_RNA from 1 species